GACGAACGCUGGCGGCGUGCUUAACACAUGCAAGUCGAACGGAAAGGCCCUGCUUUUGUGGGGUGCUCGAGUGGCGAACGGGUGAGUAACACGUGAGUAACCUGCCCUUGACUUUGGGAUAACUUCAGGAAACUGGGGCUAAUACCGGAUAGGAGCUCCUGCUGCAUGGUGGGGGUUGGAAAGUUUCGGCGGUUGGGGAUGGACUCGCGGCUUAUCAGCCUGUUGGUGGGGUAGUGGCUUACCAAGGCUUUGACGGGUAGCCGGCCUGAGAGGGUGACCGGCCACAUUGGGACUGAGAUACGGCCCAGACGCCUACGGGAGGCAGCAGUGGGGAAUAUUGCGCAAUGGGCGGAAGCCUGAUGCAGCAACGCCGCGUGCGGGAUGACGGCCUUCGGGUUGUAAACCGCUUUCGCCUGUGACGAAGCGUGAGUGACGGUAAUGGGUAAAGAAGCACCGGCUAACUACGUG
rnacentral:rRNA from 1 species